rnacentral:rRNA from 1 species
GAUGAACGCUGGCGGCGUGCCUAAUACAUGCAAGUCGAGCGAACAGAUAAGGAGCUUGCUCCUUUGACGUUAGCGGCGGACGGGUGGGUAACACGUGGGUAACCUACCUAUAAGACUGGAAUAACUCCGGGAAACCGGGGCUAAUGCCGGAUAACAUUUAGAACCGCAUGGUUCUAAAGUGAAAGGUGGUUUUGCUAUCACUUAUAGAUGGACCCGCGCCGUAUUAGCUAGUUGGUAAGGUAACGGCUUACCAAGGCAACGAUACGUAGCCGACCUGAGAGGGUGAUCGGCCACACUGGAACUGAGACACGGUCCAGACUCCUACGGGAGGCAGCAGUAGGGAAUCUUCCGCAAUGGGCGAAAGCCUGACGGAGCAACGCCGCGUGAGUGAUGAAGGUCUUCGGAUCGUAAAACUCUGUUAUUAGGGAAGAACAAAUGUGUAAGUAACUGUGCACGUCUUGACGGUACCUAAUCAGAAAGCCACGGCUAACUACGUG